UGCCCGUGGGCCCUGAGGACGAUGGUCAAGGGAUACUGUGAAGGAGGGGGUGAAGUGGAAAGUACCAGCUUUGGAAAGUGAAAGGGGAUGUGAGAUCACUGAAAGAACAGACAGACCCAAAUUGGGCCCUAAUUACACUCUCGUCACUUCUCCUGACUCCCAUCAUUCCAUCUCCGCUCUCCCCCAAUGUGGAUGGAUGGGUGCACCAGGAAGGGAGCCAUCUGGAGGGAGAGUCAUCGCCAGCAUAUGAAUGAUUUCAGCACCCUGGAGAAUUGGAUGUCAUCCACAAAGUGGGUCACCUCACCAAUAGCACCUCUUGACUCCAGAUCUUUUAUGAACAAACUAAACAGCGCCAAUCCCAGUGAAGAUCCUUGGGAGAAUCCACAGAGAAACUCCACUGCUGAAACAGAUCUUUAAUUCUGACUGUCUGCCACUUGACAUAGAGGUUCAUUUUCUACAAGCAAGCAGCCAUAGAAACAGGGGCCUUCAGUGCAAGUAGGCAACAUGGAACUCCACACAGUGAGGCACUUGUGCGAGUGACGUCCCUAUGGUUUGACACAGUCUUCCCCCAAACUGAUGCCCACCAGAGGUUUUGGACUACAACUCCCAUCAGCCACCUCCCAUGAUGAGGAAGGGUUGGGUUCCGUUUUUGGUCCCAGAUGGACGCUAUUUAAAAAUAUAAUUCCAUAAUAAUUGUUGCCUGGGUGUGUGAGAGAAUGAAUGGUGAGUGGGUGUUUGUACAUGGAUGAGAGAGGAGGACUAUGGCGUGGUUCUGGCCCUGCGUCUUGCUGGUAUGGCCUUCAAAAGAUUACCCCUAAGGGAAUGUGGCCCUUUACAGAAGAAAUGCUCUCAACACUGCCUUUUCUACCUGCUGCCUUAUGCUGUCACAGCCAGGCGUGAUCGAAGUAGCAGAAAUUACUCCAUUUGGACCAGAUUCUCUGAUCUGUGGUGAUCUACAGCUUGUAUUUCCUCAGUGCAACUAUUUGCUUUUACUUUAUAUAUCAAACCCCACUUCCUCUGUGCUUUAAGGCACUUUAAACAGCUCUAAUCUGCUUUCUCCAACAGCUUCAAGAUAUCAAUAAAUCCUAAAUAUUUCUGACA